GUUCUAUGUCACCUCAAAUACAUUACUCAACAAAUUCGGAGUUGAAAUCACUGCCAGGACUCAAAUCCAACUAUAAUCAGUGGCUACAUCUGGAAAGGCUGCAUGGAGAUGUCCUUUAAGAUGAAGAUACCUGGAUUCUACCUCCAACUUUUUUCGGAAUCUGUAGUUUCAGAGUGUCUACAUUUCCACAGCUCUCCCAGGAAGCCCUCACUAUUCACCACUCUUGCCAACAAACUUCCUUCACCUGACCGUGAGAGCUGGAGUAAAGGAAGCCACAGCUAGGUAGUUGCAUUCUUGUUCUGUUCUUUGACUACGGACUGUAUCCUUACUUCAGGCAGCUGGAUGACAAGCACCUGCAAAGAAAUCCCUUGAACAACUGGAAAAACCAUUCAAGAUUCAUACCCAAGGGAUGGAGCACGGGGAAUAAAAAGCAAGCACCAGUGAAUGAAUUCAGCAGCCACAAACAAAUUACCAGCGACAUGUACCUUCCUGAGCGGCAGAGAAUUAUGGAGGCAAUAUUGCACGAUGGGAUAUGUAAGAACAGCCUUGGAGGUUCAUGUGUGGAUGGAAACCAAUUAAGAAAAGCACUUAGGAAAAUUGCUUUCCACUGUCUGGAUGAGAAUUUAUCAUGAGAUAUGGUUUUUAAGUGAAAAACCUUACAUGUAAACCUAGACUAAGUGUUUUGUCCAUGGUGACACACCAGGGGAAACAAAAGAGAUAAAAAUAGAAUGCUUGAAACCAGCCUCCUGAUGUAAUCACCAGACAGUUUACAAGUUUAUCUGAGGAGGAAGAGGUCCUAAUGCAACGUAGAACCUUAAGAGAGAGAUGUCAGCACAAGAAUUGCAGCAGCCAACUGACUGGGAACAAUAGAAAUGGAACUGAUUGCUUCGUAAAGAGUGAUACAAUUUUACCAAUGACACAGCAAAAGAAAACAAUUGCA
rnacentral:lncRNA from 1 species